rnacentral:rRNA from 1 species
AUUGAACGCUGGCGGCAGGCCUAACACAUGCAAGUCGAGCGAGCGGCGGACGGGUGAGUAAUGUCUGGGAAACUGCCUGAUGGAGGGGGAUAACUACUGGAAACGGUAGCUAAUACCGCAUACCAUCAGAUGUGCCCAGAUGGGAUUAGCUAGUAGGUGGGGUAACGGCUCACCUAGGCGACGAUCCCUAGCUGGUCUGAGAGGAUGACCAGCCACACUGGAAAUGGGACACGGGCCAGAAUCCUACGGGAGGCAGCAGGGGGGAAUAUUGCAACAUGGGCGCAAGCCUGAUGCAGCCAUGCCGCGUGUGUGAAGAAGGCCUUCGGGUUGUAAAGCACUUUCAGCGGGGAGGCGUUACCCGCAGAAGAAGCACCGGCUAACUCCGUGCCAGCCGCCGCGGUAAUUC